UACGUAGGGCGCAAGCGUUGUCCGGAAUUAUUGGGCGUAAAGAGCUCGUAGGCGGUUUGUCGCGUCUGCUGUGAAAACCCGAGGCUCAACCUCGGGCCUGCAGUGGGUACGGGCAGACUAGAGUGCGGUAGGGGAGACUGGAAUUCCUGGUGUAGCGGUGGAAUGCGCAGAUAUCAGGAGGAACACCGAUGGCGAAGGCAGGUCUCUGGGCCGCAACUGACGCUGAGGAGCGAAAGCAUGGGGAGCGAACAGGAUUAGAAACCCGGUGUAGUCC
rnacentral:rRNA from 1 species